ensembl:lncRNA
CAGCAGUCAUCCCUGAAGUUUUACAUUAAAAUCUUUACUUGUGUUGUGAACUUUGGUAAGAAGCAGAAACUUUAGCGUUGCCAUGGAUACAUGAAUGUUAAAUUCUGUCCAUGUUUCCAUUUUGGGAAAUGCAGUCCAGUUCCAGAAUGUGGAGGAAUUUAGUCUCAAUCACAGACAACAAAUAUUAUCUGAAAGUCGGGUUAUUGUUGUUUAUCAGCACAAUACAAAAAGAUUAAUGUUAGAAAUAUUCCAGUUAAGACUCUAGAAUAUCAUGAUUUAUGUAAAUUUACCUCAAUAAUAUGAAUGUUCAGGUUAAGAUUGUACAGUAAUAUUUAUUAUGCAAGUUUAGCUGAUUAAAGUUUAUGACUCUGCACUAAAAUAUUAUUUAAAUGGACAUCAUUAUUAUAAUAUUUAGGGUCAGAUCCUACAGUAUUGAGAUUAAGAAAUCAAAUAUUCUAUAAAAUGUAAAUACACUGAACUCAUUUGGAUAUAUUUAAGUGAGACUCUACAAUAUCAUUUGACACAAAUCUAUCUAAAUCAAAAUUUUAAUAAUUUUCACACCAAACAUUUACUGGACUGAUUUAAAUAUUAAAAUCACUCCUUUCUAAUCCUCUGCUGUACGUUCAAACCUGAGGCCUUAAAUAGAAACACACAAGUAUCUGUUUGAAGGAACUUCUGCAGAGUCCUGGUUCCACAACAUGAUGAUAGAAUUAUAGACAAACUUUAACAAAAGCUGCCUGAGAGUUUACAGGUUUUUAUGUUGGAUUUCUUCAGUAAUUUAAUGAGCAUUAUCAGCAAUAAUCAAGUGUUCAUUUGAUGAACUUCAUUUCCUAAAACAUCCAGAAUUGGAGCUCAUAUCUUUGGCAGCUGUAAAGUUUCUGCUCCUUCAAAGUUCACAACACAAUGAAUGAAUUCCUAAAACACUCUCAAUGCUGGAGAGCGUUUGUGAUGCUGAAGCAGUGAUCAGUUUUUCUGUUUAUUCUCUGGAGAUGCACAAUGAGGGACGUCUGCAGAGACUGAGAAAGAGUCUCACCACAUCCUGACAUGAGGAAAAAGACUUUAUUGAAGACUACAAUGAGAAAAACUAUCAGACAGCAGACGGCUGCAUUCAAGUCUGUAGCUGCUGAAUUCAUGGAUGAAUCAUCUGGCACUAGAGAGGAAGACCAUCAAACAUCCACGUCAGCUGAUGGAGGUCCAAGAGUCUCACCAAACAAACAACCUACAGAGUGAAGACCUCAAAUCUG